rnacentral:tRNA from 1 species
GCUAAAGUGGCUCAGUUGGUAGAGCAGCUGAUUCGUAAUCAGCAGGUCGUGGGUUCGAGUCCCAUCUUUAGCU